CAGAGGGGGCAAGCGUUGUUCGGAAUUACUGGGCGUAAAGGGCGCGUAGGCGGCCUUCUAAGUCAUGCGUGAAAUCCCCGGGCUCAACCCGGGAACUGCGUCUGAUACUGGAAGGCUUGAAUCCGGGAGAGGGAUGUGGAAUUCCAGGUGUAGCGGUGAAAUGCGUAGAUAUCUGGUGGAACACCGGUGGCGAAGGCGGCAUCCUGGACCGGUAUUGACGCUGAGGCGCGAAAGCCAGGGGAGCAAACGGGAUUAGAUACCCCGGUAGUCCUGGCCCUAAACGAUGAAUGCUUGGUGUGGCGGGUAUCGAUCCCUGCCGUGCCGAAGCUAACGCAUUAAGCAUUCCGCCUGGGGAGUACGGUCGCAAGGCUG
rnacentral:rRNA from 1 species